rnacentral:rRNA from 1 species
UACGUAGGUGGCAAGCGUUGUCCGGAAUUAUUGGGCGUAAAGCGCGCGCAGGCGGUCCUUUAAGUCUGAUGUGAAAGCCCACGGCUCAACCGUGGAGGGUCAUUGGAAACUGGGGGACUUGAGUACAGAAGAGAAGAGUGGAAUUCCACGUGUAGCGGUGAAAUGCGUAGAGAUGUGGAGGAACACCAGUGGCGAAGGCGACUUUCUGGUCUGUAACUGACACUGAGGCGCGAAAGCGUGGGGAGCAAACAGG